rnacentral:rRNA from 1 species
GAUGAACGCUGGCGGCGUGCCUAAUACAUGCAAGUCGAGCGAACAGAUAAGGAGCUUGCUCCUUUGACGUUAGCGGCGGACGGGUGAGUAACACGUGGGUAACCUACCUAUAAGACUGGAAUAACUCCGGGAAACCGGGGCUAAUGCCGGAUAACAUGUUGAACCGCAUGGUUCUACAGUGAAAGGCGGCUUUGCUGUCACUUAUAGAUGGACCCGCGCCGUAUUAGCUAGUUGGUGAGGUAACGGCUCACCAGGGCAACGAUACGUAGCCGACCUGAGAGGGUGAUCGGCCACACUGGAACUGAGACACGGUCCAGACUCCUACGGGAGGCAGCAGUAGGGAAUCUUCCGCAAUGGGCGAAAGCCUGACGGAGCAACGCCGCGUGAGUGAUGAAGGUCUUCGGAUCGUAAAACUCUGUUAUUAGGGAAGAACAAAUGCGUAAGUAACUGUGCGCGUCUUGACGGUACCUAAUCAGAAAGCCACGGCUAACUACGUG